GACUUUGUAGCUCAGCCGGUAGAGCAUUUGCCCCGUUUGGGCACAUUGUUUCUGUCGCUGGUUCGAAUCCAACCGAAGUCC